CCUACGGGGGGCAGCAGUGAGGAAUAUUGGUCAAUGGGCGGAAGCCUGAACCAGCCAAGUCGCGUGAGGGAAUAAGGCCCUACGGGUCGUAAACCUCUUUUGCCGGGGAGCAAGGACGGGGACGGUUCCCGGCCCGGAGAUUACCCGGAGAAAAAGCAUCGGCUAACUCCGUGCCAGCAGCCGCGGUAAUACGGAGGAUGCGAGCGUUAUCCGGAUUUAUUGGGUUUAAGGGGUGCGUAGGCGGGCUUUUAAGGCAGCGGGAAAAAUUCGGGGCUCAACCCCGUCCGGCCGUUGAAACUGGGGGCAUUGAGUGGGCGAGAAGAAUGCGGAAUGCGUGGUGUAGCGGUGAAAUGCAUAGAUAUCACGCAGAACCCCGAUUGCGAAGGCAGCCUUCCGGCGCCCCACUGACGCUGAGGCACGAAAGUGCGGGGAUCGAACAGGAUUAGAUACCCGAGUAGUC
rnacentral:rRNA from 1 species